UCCCUGGCAGUCCAGUGGUUAGGACUAGGCACUUGCACUGCCGGAGCCCAGGUUCAAUCCCUGGUCGGGGAA